rnacentral:tRNA from 1 species
GGUGGCUCAGUGGUAGAGCGCUUGCCUUGCAUGCUUGAGGCCCUGGGUUCGAUUCCUUGGCACCA